rnacentral:rRNA from 1 species
CUACGGGUUGCACCAGUGAGGAAUAUUGCACAAUGGGGGAAACCCUGAUGCAGCAACGCCGCGUGGAGGAUGACGCAUUUCGGUGUGUAAACUCCUUUUAUCAGAGAAGAAAAUGACGGUAUCUGAUGAAUAAGCUCCGGCUAACUCCGUGCCAGCAGCCGCGGUAAUACGGAGGGAGCAAGCGUUAUUCGGAAUCACUGGGCGUAAAGGACGCGUAGGCGGGUUUUUAAGUCAGGUGUGAAAUCCUAUGGCUAAACCAUAGAACUGCACUUGAAACUGGGGACCUAGAGUAUGGAAGGGGCAGGUGGAAUUAGUGGUGUAGGGGUAAAAUCCGUAGAUAUCACUAGGAAUACCGAAAGCGAAGGCGACCUGCUGGGACAUUACUGACGCUGAGGCGUGAAAGCGUGGGGAGCAAACAGGAUUAGAUACCCCUGUAGUC